rnacentral:lncRNA from 1 species
CUUGGGGCUUGGUCUGCAGUAGGAGACAAUUAUUCUGCAAUCUUCCUGGUCCUGCCAUUAAUUUAUUUAAGUCCUGGAAGAAUACUUAAAUUGGUCUCAAGUUCCAUCAGCAAGAUGGGACGACUCCAUUGAAAAGAAACAUAAUAUAUGGAAAAAUUACUAGAAAAUCUAGGAAAACUGACUGAAUGCUUUGGAAAGACACAGUCAAGAUUAAAAAAAAUGUGUCACAAGAAAGUUUACAGAACCUACUCAAACUCAAAGAGAAAUCAGAGACUAAAUUCUCAAAACUGGAAGCUCCCUACAGCAUCCACACUCUUCAGCCUUGUACUAUGUGAUGUGUAUUACGAAUGGAGCCACCGGCAGUAUUUGUAUGAACAUGAGACAAUGUGUGGCAGAUGCUUGGUGCUUUGUAAUAUUUAGUAAAAUAAAACAAUAAUAAUGUAACUAUAA